rnacentral:lncRNA from 1 species
AUUGCUCUUACAAUAAAGACUCUGCAAGAUCUCACCCACAGUCUGGCUCCUAACUUGGUCUCCAGCCUCAUUUCGCUCCGUUCUCCUUCCUGCUCCCAAUGCUGUCUAUGCUGCAGCCUUCUUAUGGUUCCUCAAAUAAGCCAUGGUCCCUCCUGCCAUAGGACCUUGCACACACACGCUGUCUCCUCUACCUGCAAUUCUCCUAGCCACAUCUCCACCCAGUUAACAACUACCCAUCUUCAAAUUCCAGCCUAAGCAUCAUCAGUACCUCAGGGAAGCCUUCCUUGACCACACAUCCCACAUCUAGGACAGGUUCCUCAGUGACAUGAUCUCACAGAAUGAGCUCCUUUCCUCAGGGCAUCUAUCUCAUCGUCUCAUUUAGAAUUAUACCCUCAUGUCUGUGAUUCUUUGGUUGAUCUGUCUCCCCACUUAGACCACAGACUUCAAGAAGGCACAGAUGAAGUCUGGUUUUGCUCCUCAUCCUUCUCCUAGCUCCUAGUAUAGUUCCUGGCAGAUAGUAAGCACCCAAUUUGCUAAAUAGAUGGAUAGAUGAAUGGAUGGAUGGAUGGAUGGAUGGAUGAGUGAAUGAACAAAGAAAAAGAGAGAAUUGCUGACUUUGGUUGGGUGGCUUGAAGUUUCUUGGAGUUAAAAUGUAGAAACGGGGAAUUAAAACCAGAGACGGUUUGGUGGAAACUGUACAAGGUGGCAACUAUUAAAGAGACUUUCUCCCUAACCACUGGCAAGAGAAGGACAGGGGAGGCCCCAAAGUGGCAUCGGCAGGCACAGCAUGGCCGCCACCCUCCCCACAGAGGACCAAAAUACCCAAGUGCCAGGCCCUAGAGCAAAUGAGAAUUUUCACUUCAUAAUCAAGAGGAAAUACUGUGGAAUUAAAGUUGAAGUAUAUGCUUGAAUUGGAUUUUAUUCUCCAGGGCCCUAAAGUUAACCAACUGGAAUCAUUUUUUGAGGACCACUCUAUUUAACCUUCGGAAAUGAAGCAUCUGCCUUUUAAUGGAAAAACCACUGCUUGUUGUAAAGGUGCUCUUCUAAGAAUACUCAAGUUGGUCAGUGUCCCAUUAAAACUCAGGAAUGCAGACCUUGACACAGAACUUCUGACUGAGAUGUCACUUCGGUUUUCUUGUGCUUCCUCAGCACUUCUACCCUGGCUUCCCUGGUGAACGGCGGGCAAGAAGUUUGAUACUCCUCCAGGCUUUUUCUUCUGCGCCAAAAACCCA